AACAAACAAAUGAUAACAACAAUCAUAACAACUAUGUCCGCCUCCGCCUUUGUAGGCGUCACAUGAUAAAGGUGACAAGCAAUGAGUCGUCUGCUCCCAUUUCUUGAGAAUCUCCCCACAGAGAAAGUCAACACAGUUUGGCCUUUACUGAAGAUGACAAAGCCCAUACAUUUGGGCUCUUCAGUAAUCUAAUGAUUUUCAUGAAUGUAAAGGACGUCCAUAGACCAACAUUUUACACAUCAACCAAUGUGCUCUUUGGUCCAAUAAUGAUAGGAAGCCACUGAGGACUGGACACAAGACUGGUAACAGGACGCAAAGCCAAGAGAGUGACAAAGCAAAGAGAAACAGACAAAAGGAGUAACAGAGAUAUUUACAGAAGCUACUAAAGGAGUACGAAAGAAACAUCUAAAAGAUAACAACAAAGAUGGAGACCCUGGAUCCCUCCGCUCUCCCAGGUGCUACCACCGCUGUGACCUAUGACUCCAAAUCAGAGAUGGUGACCCUACCAGGAGGGGUUGUCUCUGUGGCAGGCAUCACUGUGAUAACUGGGGGCGCUGAACUGUCCUGUGGCUCUUGCAUGCUAGCCUUUGGUGUUUGGGGCACUCUAAUUGGCCUAAGCGUAGUUGCCCUGGGUAUCUGGGACCAAUCAGUGCAGGUCGGGGGUCGGACCUCGCACCUCCUGGGGCUGGGAUUGGUGGUUCUGGCUAUCAGUUUUGGGGUGGUGGGCAGUGUGGUGGGCUUUCGCUUCCUGACGAAGGGGAGGAGAGAGAUAACGAGGGAGGAAAGGGAGGAUGGGAAGGUGGUGCUCAUAGGGGAGAGAGGGAGGAGUGUUAAAAAAACUGUGACUGUGUAAAAAUUUAAAAAAAGAGGGGAUGAGAGAAAAACGUUUUCAAGUUGUGAUUAUUGCACAUAGUGGUCUGGCUGUGUUGCACACUGUCCCACUUUAGUAUUAGUGGAAGAACAGUUAUGUUUUAUAUGUAUGUUAUGAAUUUGUUUCACACCAUAAAAAUGUAUUUUGGUUGAGUAACUUUAAGAUAAAAUAUUUGACCAUC